rnacentral:rRNA from 1 species
AGAGACAGCAGUAGCCGCGGUAAAACGUAGGUGGCGAGCGUUGUCCGGAUUUAUUGGGCGUAAAGGGAGUGUAGGCGGUCUUUUAAGUCUGAUGUGAAAGCCCACGGCUCAACCGUGGAGGGUCAUGGAAACUGGGAGACUUGAGUGCAGAAGAGGAGAGCGGAAUUCCAUGUGUAGCGGUGAAAUGCGUAGAUAUAUGGAGGAACACCAGUGGCGAAGGCGGCUCUCUGGUCUGUAACUGACGCUGAGGCUCGAAAGCGUGGGGAGCAAACAGGAUUAGAUACCCGCGUAGUCCCUGUCUCUUAUACC